rnacentral:tRNA from 1 species
AUAGUCUAGCGGUUAGGACAUUGGACUUUGAAUCCAAUAACCCAAGUUCAAAUCUUUU